UUUAGGCCUUGAGGGGGGAGUUUUUCACUUACAGCACGCCAUUUUUUCGACCUUAGUGCUUUUUUUUUUCUUUCUUUUUUUGCUUAGGGCAUUAUUUCCUUGGAUCAGGAUCAGGCUCAGGCAAUCAGCUUGCGCUUAGUUUUUUUUUUCCCUUCAUAGACGGCCACAGGCGUCUCUGUUCCCUCACCUGUUCUUCAUUCAGAGAUUAAGAGGUUAUCUGGGUAUGGCUGAAGAACAAAUAGAUUUUGGAGAUGAGGAGUAUGGAGGGGUACAAAAGACACAGUAUCAAGGGAGUGGAACCAUACCUGCCCUUGCAGAUGUAGAGAUGAUUGGGGAGGAUGACGAAUAUGAUGACCUUUACAAUGAUGUUAAUGUUGGAGAAGGUUUUCUUCAAUUGCAACGAUCUGAGCCACCAGUGCAACCAGGCACGGGCGGUACUGGGCUUCAAGCUCAUAAAAAUGAGGCUCCUGAACCCAGAGGUGAAGCUGGGGGUUCACAAGGACCAAACAUCUCAGGAAUUUCAGUUCAAGGGAAGUACCCCAAUGUUAGUGCCGGUUAUCGUGAAGCAGAUGUGCAACCAACUGUUAACAGACCAGAAAUAGGAUCUGGAAAUUAUCCAUCUGGGUCUGCUAGUUCACAAGGGGGCAGUGUUAUGGAGACAAACUUUGAUACCCAAGUAAAAAACAUGGGUUUUCAGGGAUUAACUUCAGCAUCCUCUAAGGUUGGGACUGGUCCUUCUGUUGUGCCUCAAAAGAUUGCUAACAACCCUGCUCAAUCCCUAAAUUCAGGUACUGGUGGUCCUCAAGGAGCUUCACAGGUUCCGCCUAAUCAAAUGGGUAUGAAUGUAAAUCAUCCUAUGAUGAAUGAAAAUCAGGUUCGGCCACCUAUAGAGAAUGGUCCAACAAUGCUGUUUGUUGGUGAGUUACAUUGGUGGACAACUGAUGCAGAGCUUGAGAGCGUUUUAUCUCAAUAUGGAAGGGUGAAGGAGAUUAAGUUCUUUGAUGAGAGAGCUAGUGGCAAAUCCAAAGGGUAUUGUCAAGUUGAGUUCUAUGAUUCAGCAUCUGCAGCUGCAUGUAAAGAGGGAAUGAAUGGUUAUAUGUUCAAUGGUCGAGCUUGCGUUGUGGCUUUUGCUUCACCACAAACGUUGAAGCAGAUGGGAGCGUCUUAUAUGAACAAAGACCAAGGCCAGCCUCAAGUACAGCCUCAAGGAAGGAGGCCAAAUGAAGGUUUUGGGAAAGGUGGUAAUAUGAAUUACCAAGGUGGGGAUGCAGGUAGGAACUAUGGAAGGGGUGGCUGGGGACGGGGAGGUCAAGCUGGCAACCGAGGUGGGGGUGGAGGACCAAUGAGAGGAAGGGGAGGUGUAGGUGUAAAGAACAUGGUUGGGAGCUCAGCUGGAGUUGGGAAUGGUGCUUAUGGUGCUGGGGCCUAUGGACCAGGACCGGGAGGCCCUGCAUUUGGUGGUCCUGCUGGUGGCAUGAUGCAUCCACAGGGUAUGAUGGGUGCUGGGUUUGAUCCAACAUAUAUGGGUCGAGGAGGUGGUUAUGGAGGUUUUCCAGGACCUGGUUUUCCGGGCAUGCUUCCAUCAUUUCCAGCUGUUAAUACAAUGGGACUAGCUGGCGUUGCUCCUCACGUCAAUCCUGCUUUCUUUGGUCGUGGAAUGGCACCUAAUGGGUUGGGAAUGAUGGGUGUAGCUGGAAUGGAUGGGCCUCAUUCUGGAAUGUGGACUGACACAAACAUGGGUGGGUGGGGAGGAGAUGAGCAUGAUCGCAGGACUAGAGAGUCUAGUUAUGGUGGUGAAGAUGGUGCUUCAGAGUAUGGGUAUGGGGAUGCGAAUCAUGAAAAAGGAAGGUCUAGCGGUGCCACUCGGGAAAAAGAUCGGGCUUCUGAGCGUGAGUGGUCAGGCAACUCUGAGAGGAGGCAUCAUGAUGAGAAGGAACGGGAAUCGGACAGGCCUGAGAGGGAGCACAGGGAACACCGUUACAGGGAAGAGAAAGACAGCUAUAGAGAGCAUCGACAUCGCGGACGUGACGUGGAUUAUGAUGAUGACUGGGAUAGGGGACAGUCUUCUUCAAGAUCUCGGAACAGGUCCCAUGCAACACGAGAAGAAGAGCACAGGUCUCGAUCAAGGGAUGUGGACUAUGGGAAGAAGAGACGCCUACCAUCAGAGUGACAAACUAUGCUGUGCAUGCUUCUUUACACUUUCUUAUGAGACCUUUAAUUAAGUUUUCACUCUCAGUAUCUCUUCCCUUGGUUGUUAUAUCAUUUCAGCAUUCUCUGUGAUGAUUGUUGGUCCAGGUGCCAAACGUCGCUUCUUAAAGGAAGAAGGAGUCAAAUGGGGAAACUCUUUGUUGAGGAAGAUGUGUUAGAAUGCUGGCUUCGUUGGCUUCCCUUUCAAGUGUGCAAAAAAUAUAUAUAUUUUAUGAGCACUGCUAAGAAACUGUAACAUCUGGAAAGAAAGUAAAUCCAACUGAAUCCAUGAACUGGAAUGUUGGUGUUGUGUGCAUUAGAAUCACUACUUACAAUACAGUCUACUUGUAAAGCAUUUUUGUCUUGUAAAGUUCGAUCUGUUUAUUAGGUCCAUAUCUUGUAAUGUGGCCUCUUUCAUUGUUUGUAUGAUUAAAUUCGGCUUUCUAAUUAGUCUUAGAGGAGUUUUGUACAGAAUCGAGGCCAACACUUGUUCGUGCUAUGUAUACACUUAUAAUUGAUUUGUUAGCUUAGAAUAGGCAUAGAUGAACUAGAUGCAAAUUGUAACAUAGGAUCACCUAUCCAACUGUAACCAUUGAUGUAACAUGCAUACUCCCCGGUUUCUGUUUAAGCACUUGUUUAUGCUUGUAUACACUUGUAAUCAAUAUGUUAGCUUAGAAUAGGCAUAGAUGAGCUUAGAUGCAAAUUGUAGCAUAGGUUCGCUGUUGAUGUAACAUACAUACUUCCCAGUUUUUCUGUAAGCACUUGUUCAUGCUUGUAUAUA